rnacentral:rRNA from 1 species
GUGGGGAAUCUUGCGCAAUGGGCGAAAGCCUGACGCAGCCAUGCCGCGUGGAUGAUGAAGGUCUUAGGAUUGUAAAAUCCUUUCACCGGUGAAGAUAAUGACUGUAGCCGGAGAAGAAGCCCCGGCUAACUUCGUGCCAGCAGCCGCGAUAAUACGAAGGGGGCUAGCGUUGCUCGGAUUUACUGGGCGUAAAGGGCGCGUAGGCGGACAUUUAAGUCAGGGGUGAAAUCCCGGGGCUCAACCUCGGAACUGCCUUUGAUACUGGGUGUCUUGAGUAUGAGAGAGGUGUGUGGAACUCCGAGUGUAGAGGUGAAAUUCGUAGAUAUUCGGAAGAACACCAGUGGCGAAGGCCACACACUGGCUCAUUACUGACGCUGAGGCGCGAAAGCGUGGGGAGCAAACAGGAUUAGAAACCCUAGUAGUCC